rnacentral:rRNA from 1 species
GAUGAACGCUGACAGAAUGCUUAACACAUGCAAGUCAACUUGAAUUUGGGUUUUUAACUUAGAUUUGGGUGGCGGACGGGUGAGUAACGCGUAAAGAACUUGCCUCACAGCUAGGGACAACAUUUAGAAAUGAAUGCUAAUACCUGAUAUUAUGAUUUUAAGGUAUCUUAGAAUUAUGAAAGCUAUAAGCACUGUGAGAGAGCUUUGCGUCCCAUUAGCUAGUUGGAGAGGUAACAGCUCACCAAGGCGAUGAUGGGUAGCCGGCCUGAGAGGGUGAACGGCCACAAGGGGACUGAGACACGGCCCUUACUCCUACGGGAGGCAGCAGUGGGGAAUAUUGGACAAUGGACCGAAAGUCUGAUCCAGCAAUUCUGUGUGCACGAUGAAGUUUUUCGGAAUGUAAAGUGCUUUCAGUUGGGAAGAAAGAAAUGACGGUACCAACAGAAGAAGUGACGGCUAAAUACGUGCCAGCAGCCGCGGUAAUACGUAUGUCACGAGCGUUAUCCGGAUUUAUUGGGCGUAAAGCGCGUCUAGGUGGUUAUGUAAGUCUGAUGUGAAAAUGCAGGGCUCAACUCUGUAUUGCGUUGGAAACUGUAUAACUAGAGUACUGGAGAGGUAAGCGGAACUACAAGUGUAGAGGUGAAAUUCGUAGAUAUUUGUAGGAAUGCCGAUGGGGAAGCCAGCUUACUGGACAGAUACUGACGCUAAAGCGCGAAAGCGUGGGUAGCAAACAGG